CCAUAAUGGCUUAUCUCUGUAGAGAAGGUAUCAAGCUCCCAUCUAAAUUUAAAGUAAUCAUAUGACUUAUUACUUGAAGUGAAAUUAUAACUGAUUGAUAAAGAUAUCCUUGGAACUUGCAAUUGAAUAUCCUUACAUUGGUUCCAUGAACUUGGCAGUCAACUAUGCUCAUUACAUAUCUAGCCAACUCUUCAAGUCCUUUUGCAAAGAAGAAAUUGAGGGGGUGCUUGGUUGAGGAGAUUGGGGGUC
rnacentral:lncRNA from 1 species